rnacentral:rRNA from 1 species
UGUAGUCAUAUGCUUGUCUCAAAGAUUAAGCCAUGCAUGUCUAAGUAUAAGCAAUUAUACCGCGAAACUGCGAAUGGCUCAUUAUAUAAGUUAUCGUUUAUUUGAUAGUACCUUACUACUUGGAUAACCGUGGUAAUUCUAGAGCUAAUACAUGCUAAAAAUCCCGACUUCGGAAGGGAUGUAUUUAUUAGAUUAAAAACCAAUGCCCUUCGGGGCUCACUGGUGAUUCAUGAUAACUCCUCGAAUCGCAUGGCCUUGUGCCGGCGAUGGUUCAUUCAAAUUUCUUCCCUAUCAACCUUCGAUGUUUGGGUAUUGGCCAAACAUGGUUGCAACGGGUAACGGAGGGUUAGGGCUCGACCCCGGAGAAGGAGCCUGAGAAACGGCUACUACAUCCAAGGAAGGCAGCAGGCGCGCAAAUUACCCAAUCCCGACACGGGGAGGUAGUGACAAUAAAUACUGAUACAGGGCUCUUUUGGGUCUUGUAAUUGGGAUGAGUACAA